rnacentral:rRNA from 1 species
UUGACCUCGGAUCAGGUAGGAAGACCCGCUGAACUUAAGCAUAUCAAUAAGCGGAGGAAAAGAAACCAACAGGGAUUGCCCUAGUAACGGCGAGUGAAGCGGCAACAGCUCAAAUUUGAAAUCUGGCUUCGGCCCGAGUUGUAAUUUGCAGAGGAAGCUUUAGGCGCGGCACCUUCUGAGUCCCCUGGAACGGGGCGCCAUAGAGGGUGAGAGCCCCGUAUAGUUGGAUGCCUAGCCUGUGUAAAGCUCCUUCGACGAGUCGAGUAGUUUGGGAAUGCUGCUCAAAAUGGGAGGUAAAUUUCUUCUAAAGCUAAAUACCGGCCAGAGACCGAUAGCGCACAAGUAGAGUGAUCGAAAGAUGAAAAGCACUUUGAAAAGAGGGUUAAAUAGCACGUGAAAUUGUUGAAAGGGAAGCGCUUGUGACCAGACUUGCGCCGGGCAGAUCAUCCGGUGUUCUCACCGGUGCACUCUGCCCGGCUCAGGCCAGCAUCGGUUCUCGCGGGGGGAUAAAGGCCCUGGGAACGUAGCUCCUUCCCGGGAGUGUUUAUAGCCCGGGGCGUAAUGCCCUCGCGGGGACCGAGGUUCGCGCAUCUGCAAGGAUGCUGGCGUAAUGGUCAUCAGCGAC